GCGGUAAUACAUGGGGGGCAAGCGUUAUCCGGAUUUAUUGGGCGUAAAGGGUGCGUAGGCGGUUAAAUAAGUCUAUGGUAUAAGUUCAACGCUUAACGUUGUGAUGCUAUAGAAACUGUUUGACUAGAGUUGGAUAGAGGCAAGUGGAAUUCCAUGUGUAGCGGUAAAAUGCGUAAAUAUAUGGAGGAACACCAGUAGCGAAGGCGGCUUGCUGGGUCUUAACUGACGCUGAGGCACGAAAGCGUGGGGAGCAAACAG
rnacentral:rRNA from 1 species